rnacentral:rRNA from 1 species
AUUUUGUUUUAAAUAUUUUUUUUUUAGAUAAAUGUAUUUCUUUUUUAUCAUUUUAUGAUUUUGGUGUGUAUUGGAUUGUUUUUUUAUUAUUUUUUUUUUUUUGAUUUUUAUUAGUUUAUUUAUCUAAUAUUAAAUGUUUAUAGGGUUAAGACUAACUAUGUUUUAUAUUUUAAUAUUAGGAUUUCUGAGUUAUAUAUUAAAAUUGAUUAUUAUUAUUUGAGUAGUAUUGAAUAUUUUUUAUUGGAUUGUACUUUGGGAAGAUUAUUAAAUAAGUUAUAAUAAGUUAAGAUAUUUUUCCUUUUGUAUUAUGAUAAUUUUAUUGUAGUUAAUGUUUAAAAUCUAGAAAUAUUAUGAUCUAAAAGGUAUUAGAAAAUUGUUAAAUUUUUUUUAAUAUUUUUUUGGAAUGAAAAGUUAAUCGUAUAAUAUGAUAUCUAGUUGAGUCUUAUAAUGUGAAAUCUUAUAAAAAGUGGGAUAAUCUACUUUUUAAUUAAUUAACAAAUUAUGUUUGAAAGUUUAAUAGUUAUUAGUAUAUUUUAAAAAUAAAGUAUUUAAAUUUAUUAUUAAAUUAAUUAUUAAUAUUAUUUUAUUAAAAGAUUAAUCUUCUUUAUUUUAGGGAUUUAAUUAUAUUUAUUAUUUUUUAAUAUGAGUUAAUAAGUAGUUGUGUAGUAGUUUAUGAAUUUAGUUAUAGGUUUAUAAUAAUUUUAUAGAUAAAAUUAAUAAAAGAAUUUGACAAAUAUUAGUCAGACCUGUUUAUCAAAAACAUUUCUUUUAGAUAAAUUAUUAAAAGUAAAACCUGCCCAAUGGUUAAUAUUAUUUAAUGGAAGUUAAAGUAGCGAAAUAAUUAGUAUCUUGAUUAGGUACAUGUAUGAAGGGUUUAACUGAUUAAGAUUGUUUUUAUUAAAAAUAAAGAAAUUUCUAUGUAAGUGAAGAAGCUUAAUAAAUACAAAUAGACGAUAAGACCCCGAGAAGCUUUUUUUAUUAUAAAAUAAAAUUUAAAUGGGGCAUUUAAUAAUAUUAAUAAAAUUAUUUGAAUUAUUUUGUUAUGGUUUUGUGAGACACUUUGGAGAGUGGUUAAUGGUUAAAGUUACUCCGGGGAUAACAGCGAAAUAGGAAAUUUUAGUACUUAUAGAAUUUUUUGUUUUCGACCUCGAUGUUGAAUUAGAAUAAUAAUCCCGAAGAGGGGAGUAAGGUUUAGACUGUUCGUCUAAUAUAUUCUACAUGAUUUGAGUUCAGAUCGGCGUGAGCUAGGUUGGUUUCUAUCUUUUGUAAAAAUAUGAUUUUAUUGUACGAAAGGACUUAAGAUUUAGGUUAUUACCAAAUUUAUUAAACUUAUUCAAGUUAAUUGUAGUAUAUUUAUUAUGUAGAAUUUAGAUUUCUUUGAUCUUUGGCAAUUAAAA